rnacentral:lncRNA from 1 species
AGAAACCUAAAGCCAACUUGGUAGCCAUGUCAACCUCCAAAAUGAGUUUGAAGCUUCUCGUUGAUGCAAAGCGCAACAAAGUCGUCUUUGCGGAAUCAGGGAAAGACUUUGUGGAUUUCCUCCUUAGCCUGCUUGCUUUGCCUCUGGGUACCGUCAUUCUGCUCCUCACAAAAUCAACAACGAUUGGCUGCAUAUCAAGUCUUUACGGGAGCUUUGAAAAGCUAGAUGAAUCGUACCUGCAGCCUAACCAAAACAAGGAUUCCAUUUUGAAACCAACUAUAACAACCCAGGUCACCGAUCCAAAUUUCUUGCUUCCUGACACUAAAAAGCCUGAAAACCGGAAGUUAUACUAUUGCUCAAGCCAUCCAGGGUACGUGUCAGAUAUUCAAAACUCUGUUUGCAGUUAUUGCAGAUCUGGUACUACUCGAUAUAUGAAUCAAGAAGUCAAGUUCGUUGGCACGAAUGUCUCCGCCUCCACAGAUACACCGGCUAGUGAUCAGGCCGGAGGUUACGUGAAGGGCCUGGUCACUUACAUGGUGACAGGUGAUUUGUCCGUCUCUCCAAUGUCAAUGGUGUCCGGUGUUGGUCUGCUAAACAAGUUCGGUAUCAAGGAUUUUAGUGUGCUUGAGGAGAAAGUUGUUGAACUUGGGAUCAACGAGGUACUGCUUGUUUUGAACUCUGUCUUGUAUUGUUCGUUGUAGUUUUUUCUUGUUGUCUAACGAUAGUUUAUACUACGUCUAUGCUGCUUUCUGUGUCCCUUGUUCUUUUAUAAUUUUCAGGGUCUUGAAUUGUUGAAAGCUUCUCUUUUGUCGAAGGAUGCUCUCACUGCUGUUUUCCUUCCAAAGCUGAAUUAAGGACAGAGAUGACGAGCCAGUAUCGAAAUAGAAAAAAAAGGAGUUGAUGCGCGUUCUUCAAUUUCUAAAUUUACUAUGUCUGUGAGGAAGUAAUGAGAAAAUAAGUUGGAGAACUUUAGUUUUGUUGUUGGACUGCAAUGAUGAUCAUUCAUCUUCCUUUUGAAUAUGCCUGACCUUUUCAUUUGUUUUUCUUUGUUGCUUUAUUAUGCUUGUCUUCUUUCAUUUAUCUUUCACUGUUGCUUUAUUUUGAAUUUUGUGAAAUGAGGAUGCGAUGGAAUGAAUAGUUUCCCCUCCUCAUCUACAUUUCUUUGUAUUAUACCAAAUCAAGAUUUUUAUAUUAUAAAUCAGAAAUGGUUAUCUUGACUUGUUUGCUUUGCCUCCAGCACAAAUUCCAACUUUCUUCUCCUUUCCUCUUCAAAUUUCUUGCUUCUCUUUCUCCGAGAAUUUGAUCUCUUGUUUUCCCCUAACGCCGAUAAAGUUUAUGUGUUUUUUCCUUCACCUAAGAUGAUUCAGUUUUUUUCGCAACCAUACCAAAUUCUGGCACAAACACUGUAGCUUUCUUUGAGCAUGCCAAGCAUCAAGUUUCAUAUUCCACUUGAUUGUGAAUAAAUUUGCCAUCGUCUUGAGCUCAAUUAGCUAUGAUCCUGCAGGUCUAUAAUUGCAAAAAUAAAAGCAUCCUUUUCUUUUCUCAUAAACUUAUGUUAGGACCGUCGAUUUUUGCCCGAGUUACCUAUGUCCACAAAAAGAAUAACAAAGCUUGAGAUGUUUUUAGGAGCUGCGUUUUUCAAAUGGUAUUUUAUAUAUAUAAAAAAUGUUUUAAAUUUUUUAUAUAUAAUUUUUGGUUGUUUUUAUAUAUAAUUUUUGUUCGUUUUUAUUUAUUGAUAUAAAAAAUAAUUUAUAUAAAAUAAAAAAUAUAUAUUGUCUGCUACAUAAAUAAUAUAUAUUUCUAGAGUCAUGACAGUAGCAAACAAGAUGAGAGCCCAUGGAGAAGAGAUGAGAGAUGUGAAAAUUAUAGAGAAAAUUCUUCGCACCCUCACAGAAAAAUUCAACUAUAUUGUCUACUGCAUAGAAGAGUUAAAAGACAUUGACAGAUUUAUGUGGAUGAACUUCAAAGCUCAUUAAUUGUGCAUUAGCAGAAGUUUCAGAAAAAUCACGAUAAAGAACAAGUCUUGAAAGUUACCUUGUAAGAAGGAAAAGGCAGAAGACGAGGCAGGAUUACUUAUAAGGGUAAUGGAAGAGGAAGCGGUAGCAGUAGCAACAAUUUAAUUUCCCUCCUUUAUGACUUCUCCUUCCUUACUAUUGGUAAGCAUAUUAUAAAUGGUUAGGUCAUGCACAAUGCUACUUACUUUACAAGUUAAUUUCCUUUUUCUCUAAAUUACUGUAAAAAAUAUCUAUUUUGGUACGUACACAGGAAAACCUUGCAAACCCAUGAAAAGUAAAUAGAAUAUGAAUGUUAAAAAAAAAAAUAGUCAGACUAAGAUAUAUUUUCUUGCUUAAAGAGAUAAAAAAUAAUUAAAUUGUUUUUAUAAUAAAUUAGAUUGUUUUGAAAAAAUAAAUGAAUGAAAUUAAAUAAUGCAAUAACAAAAAAUUAAAGAACGAAAAUAAACCAAUUAGUCUAUUUACAUAACAACAGUGUUGUGUCCGAAACCAUAAUUUAAAAACAUGUUCCUGCACCAAACUUAGCAUUGAAGUCUUCCUUUGGUGCAUGCAUAGCCUUGAAGUCUUCCAGGCGCUUCCAUUAAAUCCUCAUGCACUGAAGCGUCCUGAUAGAGUCUUUUCCUCUCUAUAUAUUGAUACCUUCGCUUUCAAGUCGUCAACAAAAACAAAACGAACUUGUUAGUGAUCAUCAGAGUAGCCAACAAUGGCAGCCUCCAAAAUGAGCUUGAAGCUUCUUAUUGAUUCAAAACACAACAGAGUCGUCUUUGCUGAAGCAGGGAAAGACUUUGUGGAUUUCCUCCUUAGCCUGCUUGCUUUGCCUGUGGGUACCAUCAUUCGGCUCCUCACAAAAUCAACCAUGAUUGGCUGCAUAGCAAAUCUUUACGGGAGCCUUGAAAAGCUGGAUGAAUCGUACAUGCAGCCUAACCAAAACAAGGAUUCCAUUUUGAAACCAACUGUAACAACCCAGGUCACCAAUCCAAGUUUCUUGCUUCCUGACACUAAAAUGCCUGAAAACCGGAAGUUAUACUAUUGCUCAAACCAUCCAGGGUACGUUUCGGAUAUUCAAAACUCUGUUUGUAGUCAUUGCAGGUCACAAGGCUAUACUCGUUAUAUGAAUCAAGAAGUCAAGUUUGUUGCUACGAAUGUCUCCGCCUCCACAUAUACACCAGCUAGCGAUCAGGCCGGAGGUUACGUGAAGGGCCUGGUCACCUACAUGGUGACAAAUGAUUUGUCAGUGUCUCCAAUGUCAAUGGUGUCCGUUGUUGGUCUGCUAAACAAGAUCGAAAUCAAGGAUUUUAGUGUGCUUGAGGAGAAGGUUGUUGAAUUUGGGAUCGAUGAGGUACAGUGUUUUUUUAAUUUUAUUCUGUCUUGGAUUGUUCAAUUUUAACACGGUAGUUUUUGUUGUUGUCUAACGAUAGUAUAUACUACGUCCAUGCUGCUUUUUUUGUCCCUUGUUCUUUUAUACAUUUCAGGGUCUUGAAUUGUUGAAAGCUUCUCUUUUGUCGAAGGAUGCUCUCUCUGCUGUUUUCCUUCCAAAGCUGAAUUAAGGACAGAGAUGGUGAGCCAGUAUAAUCGAAUUAGAAAAAAAGGAGUUGAUGGGCGAUCUUCAAUUUCUAAAUUUACUGUGUUUGCUCGGCAGAAAUUAGAAAUUAAGUUGGGAGAAUUCUAAUUUUGUUUUUGGAAUGAAAUCGUGAUCAUCAUAUUGCAGUUGAAUAUGCUUGACUUCUUUAUCCUUUCAUUUUCGCUCUAUUUUGAUUGUUGAGAAAUGCUAAAUUUAUUUGUCUGGGCUUUUUUUAAUGUCAAAGAUUUUAAUUAUAAAUCAGAAAUUGUUAAUCCAAAGAAAAGAUAGUAGAGACUGAUUCCUUUCAGAUGUCUUGAAUCUGCUUUUGCGACAGAUUUUAGAACCGUCAAUUGCUUUUGAUACAAGGCAUUCGUUAAUUAUGCAACACAUAAAAAUCACUAAAUUUGUGGAAAAACAUAAAGAUCAAAACAAUUAGCAGUGUCAAAAAAAGCAAACUAGAAGUAAGCAGGCGCCACACGAGUGUCUUUAGAAAUAUGAUUAUGAUCGUUUUUUAAAAUAUGUUUUAAUGUAUAAAAAAACAUCUCGCGGGAUUGAGGACAAAUCUUUUCUACAGUUCGGUCUUAGCACCAGAAAUCAAAGAGUAGAUGCCUGUUCUCGAGGUAGAAAAUGCCCCAUUUAUGCUUAAUUCGAUAUUGUUUUGUUCUGCCUUGUGUCCCUUCUUUGUCCUCUUGCCAGAGAAGAGCUUGACUGUCACAUCUCUCUAUAGUUUCAAUGACCAAAAGAAUCAGAAAAAUCAUCACUGUGCAAUUAAUGACAAGCAUGAAGCUAACCUCCCUUCAAUCAUAUUUCAUCUUCCCCUUGCAUAAGGCUCCGUCUAGCAAGUAUCAUGCUGUAUAUAUAGACAGCUCCACAAGGUAGUGGGACGUAAUAUAUUUGUCAAGAGGAGUAUGAAUCACUGAAGCAUCAAAGAAUUCGUGGAUAUCCUUCUUACUUGCUUUGCCUCCUGAGAAAUUCUACCUUGAAUGGCUGCAAUUGGAAAUCUGAAUGGGAGCAUUGAAACCUUUUUCCAUGUAAAGUAGAACUUGAUGAAAAUGUCAAUUUCAAAGACGCUUUUCAAUUGCUUCGUAAUCUGCUAAUUUUAAUGCAUUUUGCUGUAGAAUGCGGAAAACUUCAAGGAUGAAAAUAAGUGGAAAAACCAGGUAACUUUUUCUACGAAAUAAAUGGAAGUAAAAACUAUACUCUUCGUGGAAAACAGAUGCCCACAAUUUCCAAACCCAAGCUUAGUGGCUUAAUUAGACUUUAUUAUCAUUUCAUAUUUCCAAAUUUAGUCAGUACCAUAAUUUUAUUUUACCAGUAUCGUUCAUCGCAGUUAGUCAAAUACUAUAAAACUUAAAUAACUAAUAGCUGUUCGUGGGGAAUCGAACAACGGCUUGCAUGGAUGAACUAAAAUGUCUAUCAUGGGAAAUCCAGAACUUUCUUGCAUGGAUUCGACCUUCUUAUAAACUAUUUGUCAUCCCCGUGCAGUGAAAGCCUCCUGAUAGAAUCAUUUGAAGUUUUUAUUAUUAUGGAGUAAAAAGUUAUAAAUUUGAUUGUAUAAGUUUAAGUAAAGCUGAACAAAGUUUAUAUAAAAUUUUUAAAUUUUAAAUCAAUGUUUUUAAAUGUUAAAUUGAAAAAAAAAAAGAGUAAAAUUGCAAUGAUGUUGAAAUGAAAUAUGAUAGUGAAUGAUUUGAAAUAAAGCUUAAUUGAAAAGGAAAAUUGAGUGAUAAUUCUUGAAAGUCAAGAAAUGGCCAUCCUAAACAAAUGAUAGCUGCACGCCACGCGCUUAGCUUCUGCCAUGUUGAGCACCGUCCAUAAAAAAGGUUAAUGGCCACCGUUGGAUGUAGCCAUAAGAAACAAACACUUUAGGACAAGAAAAAAAAGGUCCCUCCUUUAUGACAUCUCCUUCCUUACUAUUGGUAAGCAUAUUAUAAUGGCGGGGUCAUGCAGAAUCCACUUUACAUGUUAAUUUCCUUUUUCUCAAAAUUACUGUAAAAAAACAUCUAUUUUGGUACGUACACAGGAAAACCUUGCAAACCCAUGAAAAGUAAAUAGAAUAUGUAUGUUAUAAUUUUGUUUCACAAUAUGUUUUUUUUUUAAAAAAGAAAAAUAGUCAGGCUAAGAUAUAUUUUCCUUAGUAUGCGACGCCAAUAAAUUUUGGUGCAGGGUCAACAAAAUUGGUGUUGGGUGAGCAAAAAAAUUAACCUGUAACCUAUUUUUCUUAGUUAGAUUAUGAACUUAUUUUUUUUAGUGAGCAACAUCAUUUUUUCAUAGAUCAACAUCGAGUUCUGUUAAAAAAACUAAGAAAAAAUACAUGUAAAAACCACGUGAUUUGCUUGCUUAAAGAGUAAAAAAUAAUUAAAUUGUUUUUAUAAUAAAUUAGAUUGUUUUGAAAAAAUAAAUGAAUGAAAUUAAAUAAUGCAAUGACAAAAAAUUAAAGGACGAAAAUAAACCCAACAAAUUCCACGUCUCAUUAGCAUCGACUUGACAAGAAGUUCUUAUCACUUUAACCAAUUAGCCUAUUUACAUAACAACAGUGUUGUGACCGAAACCAUAAUUUAAAAACAUGUUCCUGCACCAUACUUAGCAUUGAAACCUUCCAGGUGCUUAUCCUCUUGCACUGAAGCCUCCUGAUAGAGUCUUUUCCUCUCUAUUUAUUGAAACCUUAAUUUGCUUUCAAGUCGUCAACAAAAACAAAACCAGCUUGUUAGUGAUCAUUAAAGUAGCUAACAAUGGCAGCCUCCAAAAUGAGCUUGAAGCUUCUUAUUGAUUCAAAACACAACAGAGUCGUCUUUGCUGAAGCAGGGAAAGACUUUGUCGAUUUCCUCCUUAGCCUGCUUGCUUUGCCUCUGGGUACCGUCAUUCGGCUCCUCACAAAAUCAACAACGAUUGGCUGCAUAUCAAGUCUUUAUGGGAGCCUUGAAAAGCUGGAUGAAUCGUACCUGCAGCCUAACCUAAACAAGGAUUCCAUUUUGAAACCAACUAUAGCAACCCAGGUCACCAAUCGAAAUUUCUUGCUUCCUGACACUAAAAAGCCUGAAAACCGGAAGUUAUACUAUUGCCCAAGCCAUCCAGGGUACGUGUC